rnacentral:rRNA from 1 species
AUUGAACGCUGGCGGCAGGUCUAACACAUGCAAGUAGGGCGAGCUGCGGACGGGUGAGUAAUGUAUGGGGACUGCCUGAUGGAGGGGGAUAACUACUGGAAACGGUAGCUAAUACCGCAUACCCUCAGAUAACCCAUAUGGGAUUAGCUUGUAGGUGAGGUAACGGCUCACCUAGGCGACGAUCCCUCGCUGGUCUGAGAGGAUGAUCAUCAACACUGGGACUGAGACACGGCCCAGACUCCUACGGAGGCAGCAGUGGGGAAGAGUGCACACUGGGCGCAAGCCUGAUGCAGCCAUGCCGCGUGUAUGAAGAAGGCCGUCGGGUUGUAAAGUACUUGCAGUCGGGAGGCGUUACCGACAGAAGAAGCACCGGCUAACUCCGUGCCAGCAGCCGCGGUAAUUC